rnacentral:rRNA from 1 species
AUGGCUGUCGUCAGCUCGUGUCGUGAGAUGUUGGGUUAAGUCCCGUAACGAGCGCAACCCUUGUCCUUAGUUACCAGCACGUAAUGGUGGGCACUCUAAGGAGACUGCCGAUGACAAACCGGAGGAAGGUGGGGAUGACGUCUAGUCAUCAUGGCCCUUACGGCCUGGGCUACACACGUGCUACAAUGGUCGGUACAAAGGGUUGCCAAGCCGCGAGGUGGAGCUAAUCCCAUAAAACCGAUCGUAGUCCGGAUCGCAGUUUGCAACUCGACUGCGUGAAGUCGGAAUUGCUAGUAGUCGUGAAUCAGAAUGUCACGGUGAAUACGUUCCCGGGUCUUGUACACACGCCA